UGCCAUUACUGGUGCAGCCAACUUUUGGGGCAUUAAUGGAGACUGGAUACAGAUGUCUGAACCAUUAUCUUGUCCAUCCUGAAGUAUGCCAAACACCACAGUGGUUCAAAUGCAGACAUGAUGCGGCGUCUAUACUCGUGCUCCUCAACUUUGCUCUGGGGGAGUCAAAUAUUAAAGGCAUGGGCCAAUAUACAAACAGAGCUUUUGAUGAGGCAGUGAAGAUUUGCAGAAUCAAGACCUAAGAUGGGAGCCCUUUUUGAAAGAGACAUUAACUUCAUUCACUGAAGAUACUGAAACAAAAACAGAAAUUCCACCCUGGACACGAGAAGUCUUCCAGAAAAAGUUUAACCAGAACUGUCCCUUUUGAGCAAGAGAAAAGGAAGUAAAAACCAUGAAGGCUACAGUAGGUGUUGGUAGUUUUUCUGCUCAAGCUCUAGGAGACCAGCCUAACCAGAGGCUUUGCCGAGUGGACUUCAAGUUGAGACCUCUGAACCAGGGCUCUGAGGUGCAACCGCUGCUGGAAUUCUGUAUUCAGUUCUGGUGUCCACAAUUCAAGAGGAGUGCUGAGAAACUGGAGAGGGUUCAGAGAAGAAGCACGAGAAUGAUUAAAGGAUUAAAAACUUGCCUUAUAGUGACAAACUCACGGAGCUCAAUCUAUUUAGCUUAACGAAGAGAAGCUUUAAAGGUGACUUGAUUACAGUCUGUAAGGAUCCACACAGGGAUCGAAUAUUUGAUAAUAGGCUCUUUAGUCUAGCAGAGAAAGGUAGAACAUGAUCCAAUGGCUGGAAGUAGAAGCUAGACAAAUUCAGACUGGAAAUAAGAUGCACAUUUUUAACAGUGAGAGUAAUUAACCACUGCAACAAUUUACCAACGAUCAUGGCGGAUUCUCCAUCACUGACCAUUUUAAAAUCAAGAUUGGAUGUUUUCCUGAAAGCCGUGUUCUAGAAAUUAUUUUGGGGAAGUUCUAUGGCCUGUGUUAUACAGAAGUUCAGAUUAUAUGAGCACAAUGGUACCUUCUGGCCUUGGAAUUUAUGAAUUUAAUUCAUCUUGUGCUUAUUAGCUCAAAGAAUCCAAGCAAAUAACCACUGCGAAAUAACUUAUAUAAUUCUAGAACUUGGGAGGUCCCAUGAAGGGGGGGGUGGGCCUUAGUUGAGACUUCUCCAGAGUCUCAGAAAGUUUGCUCACUGGAAAUUGAGGGCCAGUAAAUCUGCUGGUGUAAAUGGGUGCAGUUUCUUUGAUUUUCAUGUGUCUCUCUGAAAUGUGCACACUGAGCUGCACACAUCUGAGAGAAACACGGGAUAGAAGCCAAUGGGUGAAAGUCCUCAGACAGGAAAAAAGGACUAGAGCUAGUUGGGAAUCUUUUGACUAAUAUUUUUUUUCCUCCCCAUUUAAAAAUGCUAAUUCCUCAAAACUGAAACUGUCUAUGAAACAGGGUUGGGUUCAGUGAAUUUCAUGCUGCAAAAAAAAAUGUUGAGAAAAAAUGUUUACAAUUGAACAAAAAAACAAACAUGUUAACUCUUUCUAAAUGAAAAGUUCCAGGUUUGAGAUUCUAAACGACUUUUCAUUUCAAAAAGUAAGCUAAUUAGACUGAAAAAAGUAAGGAGAAAAGGUCAAAAUUGAAACAAAAUGUUUUACUCGACCUAAAAACAACAGUUUUUUGGUUUGUAUAUAUUUUCAUCCCAAUUGGGGAGACAGUGGGGGAAGGGAGGAAAGAGAAUUUAACUCUCAGAUACUUGUGGGAUGGGAAAACCGUUUCCCUCCCAGCUCUAAGUAGGGCAGCACUGGCCUAUGUGAGUGAACAUGGUGGUGCCACUGCUUAUAAAACAGGGCUUCCUUAGUUUUCACUUGGCUAUUCAGCAUGGCUCAUCAUGUAAAAACAGUACAGGUUAGUGUAGAAACUUGUUAUAAGCUAAGAACUGACCCACACUAACGUCAAGACCUUCUCAACCUACAGUGCUUGUCUCAUCAGCUUUCCCUUUGUAGCCCCAUCUUUUUACGCCGCCUUUUCACAUCUUUUGGACUUCUCCCUCCUUGCUGUGUAAAGUCAAUUUAGACUGAAAGCUUGUCAGGGCAGGAUCUGCCCCUCUUUAAUUAUCUGUAAAUAGAGCUGAUUGGGAAUCUUUCACUGGAAAUGAUUUUCUGACUGAAAAAGCAGUUUCUGCAACAUUGAAAUUUUCCAUGGAGAGAACCUCAAUAUUUGCGAUGUGUUUGACAUUUUUCAUUGGGGAAUCUUGAAUUGAGAUGUUUAAUGUAUGUCAGAAUAUUGCAUCUUGUUGAACUAACAUGAAACAUUUCAUUUGAAUUAGUUCAAUAAAACACUACACUUUAUUUCCCAAUCAAUGCAUUACCGUAUGGGAGUUAGAGUGUAGGCUCCCAUUCUCUCCUAUGAGACGAACUCUCUGCAGGACUAUAUCUUACAUAAUACUAUGCAGAUUUCCUCUGACCAAGCUCUGUGUGGUGCAUUAUGGAGGUCAUGUGAUUCUGUGUGCAUCAUGGGAUGUUUAGUCCAGCCAGGAAGCCUGGACCAUAGUGGAGAAAGAAGGGCAUCAGACUGCAAAACUACAACUUCUGUGAGGCAAUAGAAAAAUAUAGUUUAAUGUUGAGCGUACUCAAACCAAAAUGAAAUGUACUGAUUUCAGGAAUGUCAAAACAUUUCAGUCAAAAAUGGUGAAGAAAAACAUUUAGACAUUUCUGAAAUUGAAACUCUGCAGAUAUUCUGUAUUAUGAAAAAAAUCUCAUUUUUUUAUUCCAAUUUGGGACAAAAACAAAUGUUGAACUGUUGGAACUUUCCAAUGGAUGGAAAUUCUGAAUUGCACUCCACUUUAUCUGUAAAGCA